GGUUACCUUGUUACGACUUCACCCCAGUCAUGAAACACAAAGUGGUAAUCGUCCUCCCGAAGGUUAGACUAACUACUUCUUUUGCAUCCCACUCCCAUGGUGUGACGGGCGGUGUGUACAAGGCCCGGGAACGUAUUCACCGCAGUAUUCUGACCUGCGAUUACUAGCGAUUCCGACUUCAUGGAGUCGAGUUGCAGACUCCAAUCCGGACUACGACAUUCUUUAAGGGGUCCGCUCCACAUCACUGUCUCGCUUCCCUCUGUAAAUGCCAUUGUAGCACGUGUGUAGCCCUACACGUAAGGGCCAUGAUGACUUGACGUCGUCCCACCUUCCUCCGGUUUGUCACCGGCAGUCUCCUUAGAGUGCCCAACUUAAGGCUGGCAACUAAGGACAAGGGUUGCGCUCGUUGCGGACUAACCCAACAUCUCACGACACAGCUGACGACGCCAUGCAGCACCUGUGUCUGAAUUCCGAAG
rnacentral:rRNA from 1 species